GUCUUCGGGGUUUGGUGAAAUUCCAUACCGGCGGUACAGCCCGCGAGCGCCCAGCGCAUGAACCGGUGAGAUUCCGGUGCCGACAGUAAAGUCUGGAUGAGAGAAGAUG
rnacentral:ncRNA from 1 species